UACAGAGGUGGCAAGCGUUGUUCGGAAUUACUGGGCGUAAAGGGCGCGUAGGCGGCCCGUCAAGUCCCGUGUGAGAGCCCCCGGCUCAACCGGGGAACGGCGCGGGAAACUAGCAGGCUUGAGUUCGGGAGAGGGAAGCGGAAUUCCGGGUGUAGCGGUGAAAUGCGCAGAUAUCCGGAGGAACACCGGUGGCGAAGGCGGCUUCCUGGACCGACACUGACGCUGAGGCGCGAAGACUAGGGGAGCAAACGGG
rnacentral:rRNA from 1 species